GUCGAGAAUAAUUCACAAUGGACGAAAGUCUGAUGGUGCAACGCCGCGUGGAGGAUGACGGUCUUCGGAUUGUAAACUCCUGUCAUCCGGGAGUAAGACCUGGCUGUGAAUAGCAGACAGGGUUGAUAGUACCGGAAGAGGAAGGGACGGCUAACUUCGUGCCAGCAGCCGCGGUAAUACGAAGGUCCCGAGCGUUGUUCGGAAUCACUGGGCGUAAAGGGAGCGUAGGCGGCGUGGUAAGUCAGAUGUGAAAUCCCGGGGCUCAACCCCGUAACUGCAUCCGAUACGGCCAUGCUUUGGGGCUGGAGAGGUAACUGGAAUUCUCGGUGUAGCAGUGAAAGUCGUCGAUAUCGAGAGGAACACUCGUGGCGAAGGCGAGUUACUGGACAGCAUCUGACGCUGAGGCACGAAGGACAGGGGAGCGAAAGGGAUUAGAUACCCGGGUAGUCC
rnacentral:rRNA from 1 species